GGAGAUUUAGCUCAGUUGGUUAGAGCAACCGGCUCAUAACCGGUCGGUCCGGGGUUCGAGUCCCUGAAUCUCCACCA
rnacentral:tRNA from 1 species